rnacentral:snoRNA from 1 species
AGACCGAGAUGAGGACAAUGUCGAAAUAAUUCUUUGUAUUUUUCCAAAGCCUUAUACAACGUUUCAGAACCUUGCUGCAUGAAUGAUGUGAUAUCAUUCCUCAUUUU